GAAAUUAUAAGCAACAUGAAUUUCAUUGCAUUUUCAAUAUUAUUAGCUCUAGCAUGUGAGCCUGCCAGUUCGUUUGUGUUUGAGAAAUCUGUUUCAAAUAAGAUAUGCAAAAUAAAUGAUGAAUUCAAAAGUGUUCUUGUUAGUUUAUUGAACGUAACUGAAAAUGUUAAUGAAAUUGAAGGUGAAUUGGAUCAUUGUGAAAUAUUCAAAACUCUAUUUAAAGCGACGAAAGAAGUUCGAUCGCGUAUGACAAGUUUGUUUUAAAGAUAUAUUCCAAUCAGCGCAUUAAUUUAACUAACUACAUUAUUUUCUUUAACUUUCAGUUGACUUUUUAAUGUCAAACAUUUUGCUAGGAUUGAUAAGCAAAACGGAGGGUAUUCCAGAAGCUUCGGUGUGUCAAUUAUUGAGAAUAAUUCCAGGAUUGAUGGAACUCCAGAUUACCACAAUAAAAUCGAAUGAAUUUGCAGAAAUUCGAAAAACAGCAACACAAAUUCUUGACGCUAAAACUUCGUACAUGGAACAGGAAAAACUUAAUUGUCUUUUGUUGGAUCAAGUGUCGCAACUAUUUCGAGGUUUUGAUCUAACAUUUUUCCAAAAUUUCCUCUUAGGUGUAACUAGCUUUGCCAGUAAGUUGGUUGGAAAUGUUCUUGGC